ACGUGAACUACAAAGAACUAUGGGAUUUGAAAUAUGACCAUUAAGAAUGGACUGAGAUGUACAAAAAAGUGGCAGCGGAAUAUAUGAUGCAUUAAAAGAAAAGCUGGAGACAUUGGAUAAUAGUGCAGAGGAAUUCGACAAUAAUCAUGAGAGAAAGAAAGAAUAUUUAUCCUGAAGACAUAUUUCAGCUGUCAGAGAUUUUCCUUCAAGAUGUGGACCAGUUGUGAGAAGCUGAAGAAGAAGAGUUAAACAAAAAUUUAUGUUUAAGAGGGGGUGUUGGAAGAUAAACAUGAAUUUAUUGUUAUCAUAAAUUACAUUGAAUUAUGUGAGUGGGAUUAUCUAUAUAUGUCUACAUACAAGAGAUGUAUUAAAUAUAGGUAUAUGAACUUAUGUCUAGGAAUGUGUUUGUAGCUUUUAGAAAUAUGUGUGAGAAGUUUAGGAAUAUGUAUGUCUCUUGGAGAAGUGUAUGGGAUAUUAAUUAAUAUAUUGU
rnacentral:lncRNA from 1 species